ACGCUCGACACCUACGGGAGGCAGCAGUGGGGAAUAUUGCACAAUGGGGGAAACCCUGAUGCAGCGACGCCGCGUGAGCGAAGAAGUAUUUCGGUAUGUAAAGCUCUAUCAGCAGGGAAGAAAGUGACGGUACCUGACUAAGAAGCACCGGCUAAAUACGUGCCAACAGCCGCGGUAAUCUGAGCGGGCUGGCAAGGC
rnacentral:rRNA from 1 species